rnacentral:sRNA from 1 species
GGCCUCACUGAACAAAUGUCACCUGCAGUGUUUCUCUUGGGGCCUAAGCAUAUUUGCGGGGUGCCUCAUGGUACUUGCAUGUAGCUCAGUAAGGCACGGAGCUUUAUAACAUUGGUUCUAAAACUUACCUGUGAGUAGAAGUCACCUGGGAAGUUACUUGAAAUGCAGAUUCCUGGGCCCCAGAGACCGUGAUUCAGUAGGUCUGGAGCGUGGGUCCUGUGACUCUGUUUCUUUUUUUUUUUUUUUUUUUUUUUUGAGAUGGAGUUUCGCUCGUCACCCAGGUGCAGUGGCACAAUCUCGGCUCACUGCAACCUCCGUCUCCUGGAUUCAAGCGAUUCUCCUGCCUCAGCCUCCCAAGUAACUGGGAUUACAGGUGCCCGCCACCAUGCCUGGCUAAUUUUUGUAUUUUUAGUAGAGAUGGUGUUUCACCAUGUUGGCCAGGCUGGUCUUGGCCAGGCUGGUCUUGAACUCCAUACCUCAAGUGAUCCACCCACCUUGGCCUCCCAAAGUGCUGGGAUUAUAGAUGUGAGCCACCAUGCCCAGCCGACUCUUAUUUUUAAAGAGCAUUCCAGGUAAUUCCAAGGCAAGUGGUUCAGGUACUUAGAAAAAUUCUGUAGCAGGUGGUCCACAUACUCGGAAAAACUCUCUAGGAUUUGUUGGAAUUUAGUGUAAUUAAGUGAAACCUACCCAGCACCUGUAGUAAUUGAAAGUGUGGGGUAUGUUUUUUGUCGAGAUCCGUGAAUGUUUCUGUGAACACCAUUUUGAUUGUGUUGCACUUCUUAAAGGUUGUGAUGACAACGGUAAUUUUAACCACUUGACCGUAUAUGUUUUUCAUCCUUGAAGACUGUCAUAUAUUUUCAAGUGUCUUUCCUCCCUGUUAUUUUAGGUUAAAGAUCGAGGUCCGGAAGCCACUAGGAGAUUUUUUAAUUGGUUUUAUUGGAGCAUUAACCUGGGAGCGAUCCUGUCGUUAGGUGGCAUUGCCUAUAUUCAGCAGAACAUCAGCUUUGUCACUGGUUAUGCGAUCCCCACUGUCUGCGUCGGCCUUGCUUUUGUGGUCUUCCUCUGUGGCCAGAGCGUUUUCAUCACCAAGCCUCCUGAUGGCAGUGCCUUCACCGACGUGUUCAAGAUACUGACGUAUUCCUGCUGUUCCCAGAAGCGAAGUGGAGAGCGCCAGAGUAAUGGAUGCAGACAACGUAUGUUUUACAGAGUCUUCAUUUGAGGAUUCCAGAAAUUUCAAACAUUACAACCACCCCUCACACGCUCCCUGCAGCCUGGCUGACCAUGUUUGAUGCUGUGCUCAUCCUCCUGCUCAUCCCUCUGAAGGACAAACUGGUCGAUCCCAUUUUGAGAAGACACGGCCUGCUCCCAUCCUCCCUGAAGAGGAUCGCCGUGGGCAUGUUCUUUGUCAUGUGCUCGGCCUUUGCUGCAGGAAUUUUGGAGAGUAAAAGGCUGAACCUUGUUAAAGAGAAAACCAUUAAUCAGACCAUCGGCAACGUCGUCUACCAUGCUGCCGAUCUGUCACUGUGGUGGCAGGUGCCGCAGUACGUGCUGAUCGGGAUCAGCGAGAUCUUUGCAAGUAUCGCAGGUGAGGACCUUUAGUGCCGGAGGUGUCUGAGUCCAGGCACAAGCAUG